UUCCGGUUGAUCCUGCCGGAGGCCAUUGCUAUCGGAGUCCGAUUUAGCCAUGCUAGUCGCACGGGUUUAGACCCGUGGCAGAUAGCUCAGUAACACGUGGCCAAACUACCCUAUGGACCGGAAUAACCUCGGGAAACUGAGGACAAUUCCGGAUACGACUCUCCUGCUGGAGUGCGGAGAGCUGGAAACGCCCCGGCGCCAUAGGAUGUGGCUGCGGCCGAUUAGGUAGACGGUGGGGUAACGGCCCACCGUGCCGAUAAUCGGUACGGGUCGUGAGAGCGAGCGCCCGGAGACGGUAUCUGAGACAAGAUACCGGGCCCUACGGGGCGCAGCAGGCGCGAAACCUUUACACUGCACGACAGUGCGAUAGGGGGACUCCGAGUGCGAGGGCAUAUAGCCCUCGCUUUUGCGCACCGUAAGGUGGUGCGUGAAUAAGGACUGGGCAAGACCGGUGCCAGCCGCCGCGGUAAUACCGGCAGUCCAAGUGAUGGCCGAUCUUAUUGGGCCUAAAGCGUUCGUAGCUGGCCACGCAAGUCCGUCGGGAAAUCGACGUGCCUAACACGUCGGCGUCCGGCGGAAACUGCGUGGCUUGGGACCGGGAGACCCGAGGAGUACGUCCGGGGUAGGAGUGAAAUCCUAUAAUCCCGGACGGACUACCGAUGGCGAAAGCACCUCGGGAGCACGGAUCCGACAGUGAGGAACGAAAGCUGGGGUCUCGAACCGGAUUAGAUACCCGGGUAGUCCCAGCUGUAAACGAUGUCCGCUAGGUAUGGCACAGGCUACGAGCCUGUGCUAUGCUGUAGUGAAGACGCAAGCGGACCGCCUGGGAAGUACGUCUGCAAGGAUGAAACUUAAAGGAAUUGGCGGGGGAGCACUACAACCGGAGGAGCCUGCGGUUUAAUUGGAGUCAACGCCGGA
rnacentral:rRNA from 1 species